rnacentral:lncRNA from 1 species
UUGCUUCUUUCUUUCUCUUCUUGUGCCUAUUUUCUAUUCCUCUUCUACUCAAGUUUUUGAUUCAUUUUUUUAAGUCUCUUAAAGCCGAAUAACUCUCUUUUUCCAUACAAAUAGCAAGGGCAUAAACUUUCUUGGCCGAAUACUCUUGGUGCCAUCAGUGCCCUUUCUAAUCGGUCAAGCCUAGUGUAAGUGCUUUGUUCUCAUAAUCGGUUUUGCUAAGAAUCUAUUACGCUGUUCUUCCCUCACUCUUUCUAAUCAACUUUGGUAGGAAAUAAGUAUCGGAUCUCGGGUUUUAACUCUCUGCCGAAUUGCUCCUUAGGUGUUUUGCGGUUUUGGUAAGUAUUCCUCUCUUAUUGACUAAGGUUGGCCGAAUGAUUUUAAGUGAGAUAAUGUGAUGAAUUAUGUUGGAUGCUAGUCCCCUAGUAUUUGGUUUUAAUGAGUAAGAUUAAUGCAGAUCUAAAGAGUACGUGAUCAAGGUAAAGCUAUUAGGGAUUAGUGUUCAAGGUAAGGUUAAGGUGAGUUUUCAAUUUUUUUGGGUAAAAUAUGUAUUAAGCAUACGAUUAAUGAAAGGGUGAUAUCAUUUGUAGGUUGGUGACUAAGGGAAUCACA